rnacentral:lncRNA from 1 species
AUGAACGCUAGGAAGAAAGUAAAAUUAAACUUUCUUAUUUGGCAGGUGCAAAAACUCAGUAAGCUUCUGUGUAAAGGAGUGAAGGCCUUGGCGAGAGCAAUAAAUGCAAAGGAAUGUGCCCCCAUGAAAGAAAGCAUCACAACCCUAAUAAGAACUAUGAAAACAAAGAAUAAGAAGUGCAAACUGAAAAACAAAAUUGAAAUGAAGAUGGUGGUUUUCCUGCACAAACUCACUGAAGACCUAAGGAACAGAAACAGCAAAACCAAGUUUUAGGCUCAGAAGCCUGUCUGCAAAUCUGCACAUUUUAUUGUUUUAAUAUAUGAUAUUAUAAAUGUUUGAUUUAUAAUUCUCUUACUACUUCAGAAAUAUGUAAUAUACAUUAAAAGGGUGUGAAUGCUUUUCAAUUACAGCAAUAUCCAUUAUUUUACAUUUUCAUAAUUUUGUGAAUAUAUUUUGUAAUGGUGUCAAAAGACAACAUGUUCCUUUUAGAUUGUAUCUUUGAUGAAGAUGUCGCAUGGGUCCCCUGUUAUUAU